GGAUUACCUGGUGUCCCAGGUGAACAGGGUGUCCCUGGACCUGCAGGACUUGAGGGUUCAAAGGGGCAGAAAGGAGCUCGAGGAGAAGCUGGAAGCCCUGGAGAGACUGGUGCAGCUGGACCAGCAGGACCCCCAGGUCCAAGAGGCUUGCCAGGA